rnacentral:tRNA from 1 species
GGCAGGUUGGCUCAGUGGUUAGAGCGCGAAUUUAUUGACUGGAAGGUCCGUGGUUCCAAUCCGACAUCUGCCU